GAUGAACGCUGGCGGCGUGCUUAACACAUGCAAGUCGAGCGAGAAGUUUUGAAAAGAUUCUUCGGAUGAAAUUUAAAAUGGAAAGCGGCGGACGGGUGAGUAACGCGUAGGCAACCUGCCCCAUACAAAGGGAUAGCAUUUGGAAACGAAUAUUAAUACCUUAUGAAACUUAACUAGUGCAUGCUAGGUAGGUCAAAGAUUUAUCGGUAUGGGAUGGGCCUGCGUCUGAUUAGCUAGUUGGUGAGGUAACGGCUCACCAAGGCGACGAUCAGUAGCCGACCUGGGAGGGUGAACGGCCAGAUUGGAACUGAGACACGGUCCAAACUCCUACGGGAGGCAGCAGUGGGGAAUAUUGCACAAUGGGGGAAACCCGGAUGCAGCAACGCCGCGUGAACGAUGAAGGCCUUUGGGUCGUAAAGUUCUGUUCUAGGUGAUGAAAACUGACAGUAACCUAGGAGAAAGCCCCGGCUAACUCCGUG
rnacentral:rRNA from 1 species